CUCAAAGAUUAAGCCAUGCAAGUCUAAGUACACACGGCCGGUACAGUGAACUGUGGCAAUGGCUCAUUAAAUCAGUUAUGGUUCCUUUGAUCGCUCUCACGUUACUUGGAUAACUGUGGAAUUCUAGAGCUAAUACAUGCCAACGAGCGCUGACUCCCGGGGAUGCGUGCAUUAUCAGACCCAAAACCCGGGGUUGCCCCUCCCGGGGCGCCCCGGCCGGCUUUGGUGACUCUAGAUAACCUC
rnacentral:rRNA from 1 species